rnacentral:rRNA from 1 species
GUCGAGGGGUAGAGUUUCUUCGGAGACUUGAGACCGGCGCACGGGUGCGUAACGCGUAUGCAAUCUACCCUUUACUGGGGAAUAGCCCGGAGAAAUUCGGAUUAAUGCCCCAUAUGCCCACGGAAUCGCAUGGUUCAGUGGGGAAAGUUCCGACGGUAAAGGAUGAGCAUGCGUCCCAUUAGCUAGUUGGUGAGGUAACGGCUCACCAAGGCGACGAUGGGUAGGGGGCCUGAGAGGGUGAUCCCCCACACUGGUACUGAGACACGGACCAGACUCCUACGGGAGGCAGCAGUGAGGAAUAUUGGGCAAUGGAGGCAACUCUGACCCAGCCAUGCCGCGUGCAGGAAGACGGCCCUCUGGGUUGUAAACUGCUUUUGUUUGGGAAUAAACCCUUCUACGUGUAGGAGGCUGAAGGUACCUUACGAAUAAGCAUCGGCUAACUCCGUGCCAGCAGCCGCGGUAAUACGGAGGAUGCAAGCGUUAUCCGGAUUUAUUGGGU